ACUGACAUGUGCAUUCUUCGAAAGCACUAGACUUACAUGUGCUUUCUGAAGAGCACUAGACUAAUAUUUGUGUCCUUUAGGGCAUUGGACUGAUUAUGUGUAUUUCUACAUGAUCACAAGACUUUUAAAGUGCAGGGCACCUCCAAUAGGAAGUUAACAAUUUUAUUUUUCUUCUAACAGGAUCAGUAGUGGGUCUCUUACUGGG
rnacentral:lncRNA from 1 species